AGUCAUCCAUCCGCAUUCGCACGUCGCAAGACGCGAGGAAAGUCCGGACACCAUAGGGCAGGAUUCCCGCCGCAAGUCGGGGCACGGGUCAAACCGUGACGGACAGUGCCACAGAAAAUAAACCGCCGUCCCCGCAAGGGAAACGGUAAGGGUGAAAAGGUGAGGUAAGAGCUCACCGCUCCAAGGGCGACCAAGGAGGCAUGGUAAACCCAAUCCGGUGCAAGACAAACAGGGACCGCCCGAGGCCGCCCACCAAGGUUCCGGGUUGUCGCACCGCCGCAAGGCGGGUCCGCAAGGUCAGAGAAAUGAAUGCGCAAGGGCUGGCGAGAGCCACCCGGGACAGAAUCCGGCUUACAGUGGAUGACUCAAA
rnacentral:RNase_P_RNA from 1 species